UACGAAGGUGGCAAGCGUUACUCGGAAUUACUAGGCGUAAAGGGCAGGUAGGUGGUUUGAUAAGUCUGUUGUGAAAGCUCCCGGCUCAACUGGGAGAGGCCAACAGAAACUAUCAGGCUUGAGUAAAGGAGAGGGUACUGGAAUUCCCGGUGUAGCGGUGAAAUGCGCAUAGAUCGGGAGGAACACCAAUGGCGAAAGCAGGUACCUGGACUAUUACUGACACUCAACUGCGAAAGCUAGGGGAGCAAACAGG
rnacentral:rRNA from 1 species